rnacentral:rRNA from 1 species
GAGGGUUGAUAGGUUAAGAGCUAAUUGACUGGACGUCACCCACAGAAGAAGCACCGGCUAACUCCGUGCCAGCAGCCGCGGUAAUACGGAGGGUGCGAGCGUUAAUCGGAAUUACUGGGCGUAAAGGGUGCGUAGGUGGUUAAUUAAGUUAUCUGUGAAAUUCCUGGGCUCAACCUGGGGUGGUCAGAUAAUACUGGUUGACUUGAGUAUGGUAGAGGGUAGUGGAAUUUCCGGUGUAGCGGUGAAAUGCGUAGAGAUCGGAAAGAACACCGGUGGCGAAGGCGGCUACCUGGACUAAUACUGACACUGAGGCACGAAAGCGUGGGGAGCAAACAGGAUUAGAUACCCUGGUAGUCCACGCUGUAAACGAUGUCAACUAGCUGUUGGUUAUAUGAAUAUAAUGAGUGGCGCAGCAAACGCGAUAAGUUGACCAGCAAACGCGAUAAGUUGACCA